UACGUAGGUGGCAAGCGUUGUCCGGAUUUACUGGGCGUAAAGGGCGUGCAGGCGGUCUGUUAAGUCUAGGGUGAAAGCUCCUGGCUCAACUGGGAGAGGUCCUUGGAUACUGGCGGACUUGAGGGAGGCAGAGGAGAAUAGAAUUCCCGGUGUAGUGGUGAUAUGCGUAGAUAUCGGGAGGAAUACCAGUGGCGAAGGCGGUUCUCUGGGCCUUACCUGACGCUGAGACGCGAAAGCGUGGGGAGCGAACCGG
rnacentral:rRNA from 1 species